rnacentral:rRNA from 1 species
UACGUAGGGUGCGAGCGUUGUCCGGAAUUACUGGGCGUAAAGAGCUCGUAGGUGGUUUGUCGCGUUGUUCGUGAAAACUCACAGCUCAACUGUGGGCGUGCGGGCGAUACGGGCAGACUGGAGUACUGCAGGGGAGACUGGAAUUCCUGGUGUAGCGGUGGAAUGCGCAGAUAUCUGGAGGAACACCGGUGGCGAAGGCGGCAUCCUGGACCAACACUGACACUGAUGAGCGAAAGCCAGGGAGCAAACGGG